rnacentral:rRNA from 1 species
AUACGGAGGAUGCGAGCGUUAUCCGGAUUUAUUGGGUUUAAAGGGAGCGUAGGUGGGAUAUUAAGUCAGCUGUGAAAGUUUGGGGCUCAACCUUAAAAUUGCAGUUGAUACUGGUUUCCUUGAGUACGGUACAGGUGGGCGGAAUUCGUGGUGUAGCGGCGAAAUGCUUAGAUAUCACGAAGAACUCCGAUCGCGAAGGCAGCUCACCGGGCCGGAACUGACACUGAUGCUCGAAAGUGCGGGUAUCAAACAGGAUUAGAUACCCUGGUAGUCCGCACAGUAAACGAUGAAUACUCGCUGUUUGCGAUACACUGUAAGCGGCCAAGCGAAAGCGUUAAGUAUUCCACCUGGGGAGUACGCCGGCAACGGUGAAACUCAAAGGAAUUGGCGGGG